CGGGAUGUGGCGCAGUUUGGUUAGCGCGCAGCGUUCGGGACGCUGAGGUCCCGGGUUCAAAUCCCGGCAUCCCGACCA
rnacentral:tRNA from 1 species